rnacentral:tRNA from 2 species
GCGGGCGUAGGCCAAUGGCGAGCCGGGGACCUUAAAAGUCCUGUCGAACGUGUGGGUUCGAAUCCCACCGCCCGCACCU